CUAACGUCCGUCGUGAAGAGGGAAACAACCCAGACCGCCAGCUAAGGUCCCAAAGUCAUGGUUAAGUGGGAAACGAUGUGGGAAGGCCCAGACAGCCAGGAUGUUGGCUUAGAAGCAGCCAUCAUUUAAAGAAAGCGUAAUAGCUCACUGGUCGAGUCGGCCUGCGCGGAAGAUGUAACGGGGCUAAACCAUGCACCGAAGCUGCGGCAGCGACGCUUAUGCGUUGUUGGGUAGGGGAGCGUUCUGUAAGCCUGUGAAGGUGUGCUGUGAGGCAUGCUGGAGGUAUCAGAAGUGCGAAUGCUGACAUAAGUAACGAUAAAGCGGGUGAAAAGCCCGCUCGCCGGAAGACCAAGGGUUCCUGUCCAACGUUAAUCGGGGCAGGGUGAGUCGACCCCUAAGGCGAGGCCGAAAGGCGUAGUCGAUGGGAAACAGGUUAAUAUUCCUGUACUUGGUGUUACUGCGAAGGGGGGACGGAGAAGGCUAUGUUGGCCGGGCGACGGUUGUCCCGGUUUAAGCGUGUAGGCUGGUUUUCCAGGCAAAUCCGGAAAAUCAAGGCUGAGGCGUGAUGACGAGGCACUACGGUGCUGAAGCAACAAAUGCCCUGCUUCCAGGAAAAGCCUCUAAGCAUCAGGUAACAUCAAAUCGUACCCCAAACCGACACAGGUGGUCAGGUAGAGAAUACCAAGGCGCUUGAGAGAACUCGGGUGAAGGAACUAGGCAAAAUGGUGCCGUAACUUCGGGAGAAGGCACGCUGAUAUGUAGGUGAAGUCCCUCGCGGAUGGAGCUGAAAUCAGUCGAAGAUACCAGCUGGCUGCAACUGUUUAUUAAAAACACAGCACUGUGCAAACACGAAAGUGGACGUAUACGGUGUGACGCCUGCCCGGUGCCGGAAGGUUAAUUGAUGGGGUCAGCGCAAGCGAAGCUCUUGAUCGAAGCCCCGGUAAACGGCGGCCGUAACUAUAACGGUCCUAAGGUAGCGAAAUUCCUUGUCGGGUAAGUUCCGACCUGCACGAAUGGCGUAAUGAUGGCCAGGCUGUCUCCACCCGAGACUCAGUGAAAUUGAACUCGCUGUGAAGAUGCAGUGUACCCGCGGCAAGACGGAAAGACCCCGUGAACCUUUACUAUAGCUUGACACUGAACAUUGAGCCUUGAUGUGUAGGAUAGGUGGGAGGCUUUGAAGUGUGGACGCCAGUCUGCAUGGAGCCGACCUUGAAAUACCACCCUUUAAUGUUUGAUGUUCUAACGUUGACCCGUAAUCCGGGUUGCGGACAGUGUCUGGUGGGUAGUUUGACUGGGGCGGUCUCCUCCUAAAGAGUAACGGAGGAGCACGAAGGUUGGCUAAUCCUGGUCGGACAUCAGGAGGUUAGUGCAAUGGCAUAAGCCAGCUUGACUGCGAGCGUGACGGCGCGAGCAGGUGCGAAAGCAGGUCAUAGUGAUCCGGUGGUUCUGAAUGGAAGGGCCAUCGCUCAACGGAUAAAAGGUACUCCGGGGAUAACAGGCUGAUACCGCCCAAGAGUUCAUAUCGACGGCGGUGUUUGGCACCUCGAUGUCGGCUCAUCACAUCCUGGGGCUGAAGUAGGUCCCAAGGGUAUGGCUGUUCGCCAUUUAAAGUGGUACGCGAGCUGGGUUUAGAACGUCGUGAGACAGUUCGGUCCCUAUCUGCCGUGGGCGCUGGAGAACUGAGGGGGGCUGCUCCUAGUACGAGAGGACCGGAGUGGACGCAUCACUGGUGUUCGGGUUGUCAUGCCAAUGGCACUGCCCGGUAGCUAAAUGCGGAAGAGAUAAGUGCUGAAAGCAUCUAAGCACGAAACUUGCC
rnacentral:rRNA from 1 species